UGUUAAUCUUCCGUUUAAUGUCGAGCACAAAAGAAGAUAUUUCAAAGGAUGAAGGUGACCAAACAGUGUUUUUCUUGGCCCAGCAACUGUCUGCUAUCCCUUUAAAUCCAGGCCUGAAUACUAAAAAACCAAAACAAACUCUUGCCCAACAGUCCAAAAUCCAUUGCUAUUUUGAAACGUAAUCCACCUCAUGCUCGAAAACAAACACGUCUUUCUGAAUGAAAUCACAUGUUGUUUGCAGCUGUUGAACAGUGUGUAUUCGGGUAACACCCCGUGUUCGUUGCUGCUACCAGAUGACCUCAGUGUUGAGCGAACGCCAGCAUUUGGAGCGUGGCGGUACUUUCAGAAAGAGGUGGCUCCUGAGGAACGCUCCGCUCGGAGACGCUCAGGUGCGAGGAGUUGAUUUCACGCUGCUGGAUUCGGCUUGGGAACACUCACAUCGCACUUCAUUUUUCUGCCCGAGCUGAAGUGUCACUGAUGCUUGAAGAUUUAUAAGCUUGUUUUGUUCGUCCUCCAAAGCCUCGCGCUUUGUUUACUCGUACUCUUCGUUAUCUGUCUUGGAUUAUUCAUGCAGAGCAGCUCCAAAGCUUCCAGGAAUCCUUUCAAAAAAUUAUAUAACGGCAUGUCAGCAGCUGGCUUUUGGGAAAUCUUUGGUGAGAAGUGGUGAAGCAAGUUUCCUAGUCGAAAACAGACACAGAAAUAUCCGUGCAUACAGCAUCCGUGACAAGAGCGGCUUCAUUUCGCUAUCAGACGAACGCAUUCCACAUCGAGAGGGAGUUUCUGCAUUCCCAGACGAGAGCCGAGCAGGCCAUCACAGCUCUUCUUGAAUGGAUAGGUGGAAGAACUAAUAAAUCUCAGAACAGAGUUGCGCUCGUGUUCGUCUGAUGAAUGAUGGUCUCGCGGGGCAGAUUGUGCUCGUGAUAGUUCAUCAAUUAAACCACUCUUUAUGUGUGACUCUAACAAUGGUUCCAAACCACAACAACCGCUUAAAUACGAUCUUUGGAUUAUUUGAGGUACUUUUGUUUUAACUGUAUUGCGACACUGGGGCUCGUUUCCCAAAAGCAGCUACGUUCACAAUUUCCAUCGUUACAAUUAGACUUCGCUAGCGAUGCAAACGAGUCCCAGUUUGCUACGUUACAGGAUACUAAAACUGAAACUGGAUACUGAAGUCAAUCCCCAAAAAAAGAUGUUUUUUACACGACAGAACUUUCUUAAAACUGCGACGAUUCACACUUUUGUAACCAUAGCAACAUUUUGACGACUCUCGCGUUCAGGAAUCAGUUAUUAUUCUUAGUUUUCAGUCACGUGACCGGUUUGAAGACCCGCAGGACAAAACAUCCAUAGAACUGCAGAACAAAGUCCAUUUUUCCAUCUGUUUCACGUCCACGAAUAUUUAGAUCACCUCUCAAAACAAUAAAACAUUCAUAUUAAGUACCCGUGGCCAUAUUUCAUUUAUCAAAUGGAUUUGAGUUUCUCAUGCACUGUUUUUUAGAAAGAUCUGGCAACAGUAAGGAUAUGCAGGUAUCAAAUUUUCACGUCGCGAUUAAUUGCUAGAAUUCAAUUUUUCAUCGCCAGUCAACUAAUGAAGCCCUAAGGUAAAGUGUGACCAAACAAUGAAGGAUUAAAACAAUAUCCAGGGCAUGCUGUAUUUGGUGCCUUGAUGAACGAAUACAAAAAUCUGCAUGGCUGUUAAAAUCAUGUUUCAGAAACAUAAAGUAGCACAGGUGUUUUAUUUAUGAGGUUUCCCGGGUAACGGCUGCAUUUCUGCUGUUUCAUCAGCGCCAUCUGCCGCCAGAAAGUGAAUGUGUUUUUACAGCAGUGUUGUGCAUUGUGACCAGUGGAUGGGAAAGGUAUUCUUAAACAACAGUACUCUCAAUCAUUUGUAAUAAAUGAAAACACAAAAGAAACAAGUUGCAACACAAUUAUAUCUCCACCACACGAUGAAAACAAGUCGUAAUAGAGCAAUGAAAGCAAGUCACAACACAACAAAAAUAGAAAUUAGCAACACAAGAGAAACAAGUCUCAGCACAGUCAACUCCCUUGUGCAAUGCAUUUAGAAUUUGCAUCCAUUCACUUAUCAAUUCACUCUCUGAUAACUGUUUAUCCAGUAUUGCCUCUUGCCGUUAUAUUACAUGUACUACCUCAGUUAACUAGGUGAAGGUGAAACUAGUGUCGACACUCACCCGCGAGAAAAAAACACUAAAAUGUGCAAUGAUACGUUUAUAUGUGGCUUAAAUGCAAUGCUUUUUCUAUGUGGUAGCUAGGGCAUUGCUUAGGGUGUUGUUGGUGGUUUCCACAUUGUUACUAAACAGUGCAGUUAUAAUGAAUGUGAAUGUGCUUAGAAUAUUUCAUGAAUUAAAUGAACAAUUGUCUGACUUUAUGAGAUCUAGGGGAAAAACAUGUUUUAUGGACCAUACUGUUUAAAUUUGAUUUGCACACCAUGAAUUAUGAAUGUGAUGGUUCCCAGGAAAAUAUAUAUAUUUUUUAGAUGAGGUACCUGGCUGCUUGUGUUUGGGUUUUGUGUCCAGGGAGGCGUUUAUUUUGGUUGGAGCUCUGCUGCUGUGGACACAUUCCUCUCUGAGGUCUGGACUGCAGUGACGGUCUAAAUGUGUUUCAGUGAACACAAUCACAGACUGCUAAGGUCCAUCGCUGGACACGCGUGUUGACCCUGGCCUCGCUCAGUUCCAGCAAUCCUGGGUCUUGUUGUUUUUGUAUUGUUGUUAGGGUGUUCUAUUGUUGCUAAGGCUUUGCUAGGGUGUUCUAAGUGGAUGCAUGGUUGCUGUGGUGUUGCAAGGCAUUGGUAUGAUGUAGCUGGUGGUUUCUAUAUGGUUGCUAAGGUGUUGCUAUGCAUCCUGUGGUUUCUAUAUGGUUGCUAAGGUGUUGCUAUCUAUCCUGUGGUUUCUAUACUGUUGCUAAGGCAUUGUUAUGAUGUAGCUGGUGGUUUUUAUAUGGUUGGUAAGGUGUUGCCGUGUAUCUUGUGGAUUCUAUAUGGUUGCUAAGGUGUUGCUAUGUAUCCUGGGGUUUCUAUCCUGUUGUUAAGGUGUUGCUAAGGCAUUGUUAUGAUGUAGCUGGUGGUUUCUAUAUGGUUGGUAAGGUGUUGCCGUGUAUCCUGUGGUUUCUGUAUGGUUGCUAAGGUGUUGCUAAGACAUUGUUAUGAUGAUGCUAGCAGUUUCUAUAUGGUUGCUAAGGCAUUGGAAUAUAUAGCAGAUGGUUUCCAUAUAGUUGCUGCAGUGCUGCUAUGAUGUUGCUGUUGGUGGUUUCUAUAUGGUUGCUAAGGUAUUGCUAAGCGCAUCACAGUACAGAGACAGUGUCAUAAAUAUAAUAAAUGAUAUUCGUUUUAAAUUCUGAUUCUGGCAAAAUAUCAGUGCUGGUACUGCUAGAUCUUAGUUCUGCGUUUGACACUGUCGAUCAUAACAUAACAAAACUGGGACAGGCUUUCUGGAAAGGUACUCAAAUGGUUCAGGUCUUACUUAGAAGCGAGAGGUUAUUAUGUAAGUAUAGAAGAGACUAAGUGGACAUCCAUGACGUGGAGUCCCACAAGGCCCAGUUCUUGCACCGCUCUUGUUUAGCUUAGCUCCCACUAAGUCAAAUAAUGAUAAAAAGCAAUCAAACUGUUGAUGACCCAGAUGUACCUUGUCUUAUCUCCAAAAGACUACAGCAUUGAUGAAUUUAACAGUUGAAUGUGCCAGAGCUGUCUUCGGUUAAACAAGAAAGAAACUGAAGUCAUUGCAUUUGGAAAUACAGCAAUGCCUUAGCAACCGUACGGAAACCACCAGCUACAUAAUAGCAAUGCCUUAGCAACGCCUUAGCAACGCCUUAGCAACACCUUAGCGACCAUACAAAUCUUUUUGUUGCUUUUUAGAAAGACACGGUGUCAAUCAGCUUAAUAAUUGAGGACAAAAUCAACAGAAUGUCUAAACAACCUCAUUUUUUUAUUGCUAAAAUACAUACACAGUCAAAUUAAAAAAACAGUUUUUUAUUAUUCUGCUUUAUAUGGUAAUAAAUAAGACAUAUUAUACAAACAUGGAUGUGACUGAACAAUGACGGCUCAAACUGAGGUGUAUUAGUGAAAUAAUGCUGUCCUCCAGUGUUUCACAUCGCAUCUGCUCCUUUGGAGGAAAUCUGACGUAUCUUCAAUCUCCAAGGCUUCAAGGGAACAUCUUUCAGCUCACUGAUCUCCUAGAAAGAGGGUAUGCACAUGUAUUUUAUCUCUAACUGCAGUCACAGUUCUCACAUGCUAAAAAAAACACUGUCAGCUGCUUCUCGCUUCAAUUAUGUGAGGAUUUGAAAUGCUUAAAGCUCUGUUUUCCACUGUGAAACAUGUCUGACUUGUGUGAUGUGGUUGCCAUAACAAUGUCUCGCUCCUCGUUACGGUCAGUAGCCCAUCCUGGCUCUCUUUCACCAUAAACUCACCAUCCUCCGUCAUGCAUUUCUCAUUUCAUUUCCAGCCAGGCGUUCACUUGAACACUUUACAGAGAAACCCAUUCGAGUCUUCUCAUUCCAUCUCACCAAAGGCUUCCCAGGCCAAGCCAGACGAACGCCUCAACACACUGAACUCAAAACUCCGCUGCUGUUCUCAUAACGCAAGGGAUAAAAAAUAGGACGGUGUCUUGUUUUUCUCCUCCGCUGGUUUUACAAAGCUUUCAAUCAUUGCCCAGUGUCAUGAAGCCACAGAAACUCGUGCUCAUGAAGGACUGACUAACCGGCAGCUCCAGAGCCUGAAGCGGCAUGAACUCGUUCCCACAGCAACAGAUCUUCUCAUGGCCGGUGUCCCGUGGCCUGCGUCGCCGGGCGGUCCUCCUAACCUCCAGACCCCUUAACGCAUGAUCUCCAGACAGAACCUGAGACACGGUGAAGAAAACUGUCAAGUGCUGCAGUUUUAGCAUGUGUGAGGAAGGGUUGACGAGAUUUGUCCGAGAUGCAACUAUCUGAAAAUCUGAGCGUGCAUAAAAAAAAAUCUAAAUAUUUACAUCAAAAGUUGUCCAAAUUAUUCUCUUAGCAAUGCAUAUUACUAAUCAAAAAUGGAAUGCUUUUUAUGGUAAGAAAUAUACAAAUAUCUAUAUGAUUUUUGGCAUUUAAAAAAGUAUAAUUUUGACCCAUACAAUGUAUUGUGGUCUACUUCUUCAAAUAUAGCUGUGCUCUUCUGACUGCUUCUGCGCUCCAGAGACACACAGAUAAACGGAAGCGACUGACCUUACUGUAUUUAGGCAGCGGGAAUCUCUCCAAACAGCUGCUGCGCUCUACAGCUAAUUCUGUUCAUUCAAUCAGAAACAGACGUUACACGCUAACACAUAAAUGAAGCUUAUCUCAUCUGCAAGACAACGUUUGAGGCGUUUAACCUCUGUACUGUGACAUCUGUGUUAUUUUUGAAAUAUUACAGUUUUAUGCAUA